rnacentral:rRNA from 1 species
CUUACCAUGCAAGUCGAGCGGUAAGGCUCCUUCGGGAGUACACGAGCGGCGAACGGGUGAGUAACACGUGAGCAAUCUGCCCUCCACACUGGGAUAACUCCCGGAAACGGGUGCUAAUACCGGAUACGACCACUUCAGGCAUCUGAUGGUGGUGGAAAGUUCCGGCGGUGGAGGAUGAGCUCGCGGCCUAUCAGCUUGUUGGUGAGGUAAUGGCUCACCAAGGCUUCGACGGGUAGCCGGCCUGAGAGGGUGACCGGCCACACUGGGACUGAGACACGGCCCAGACUCCUACGGGAGGCAGCAGUGGGGAAUAUUGGACAAUGGGCGAAAGCCUGAUCCAGCAACGCCGCGUGAGGGACGACGGCCUUCGGGUUGUAAACCUCUUUCAUCCAUGACGAAGCGCAAGUGACGGUAGUGGAAGAAGAAGCACCGGCCAACUACGUGCCAGCAGCCGCGGUAAUACGUAGGGUGCGAGCGUUGUCCGGAAUUAUUGGGCGUAAAGGGCUCGUAGGCGGUCUGUCGCGUCGGGAGUGAAAACUCAGGGCUUAACCCUGAGCCUGCUUUCGAUACGGGCAGACUAGAGGUAUGCAGGGGAGAACGGAACUCCUGGUGUAGCGGUGAAAUGCGCAGAUAUCAGGAAGAACACCGGUGGCGAAGGCGGUUCUCUGGGCAUUACCUGACGCUGAGGAGCGAAAGUGUGGGGAGCGAACAGGAUUAGAUACCCUGGUAGUCCACACCGUAAACGUUGGGCGCUAGGUGUGGGACUCAUUCCACGAGUUCCGUGCCGCAGCUAACGCAUUAAGCGCCCG